rnacentral:rRNA from 1 species
AGAGUUUGAUCCUGGCUCAGAAUGAACGCUGGCGGCAUGCCUAACACAUGCAAGUCGAACGAAGGCUUCGGCCUUAGUGGCGCACGGGUGCGUAACGCGUGGGAAUCUGCCCUCAGGUUCGGAAUAACAGCGAGAAAUUGCUGCUAAUACCGGAUGAUAUCGCGAGAUCAAAGAUUUAUCGCCUGAGGAUGAGCCCGCGUAGGAUUAGCUAGUUGGUGUGGUAAAGGCGCACCAAGGCGACGAUCCUUAGCUGGUCUGAGAGGAUGAUCAGCCACACUGGGACUGAGACACGGCCCAGACUCCUACGGGAGGCAGCAGUGGGGAAUAUUGGACAAUGGGCGAAAGCCUGAUCCAGCAAUGCCGCGUGAGUGAUGAAGGCCUUAGGGUUGUAAAGCUCUUUUACCCGGGAUGAUAAUGACAGUACCGGGAGAAUAAGCUCCGGCUAACUCCGUGCCAGCAGCCGCGGUAAUACGGAGGGAGCUAGCGUUAUUCGGAAUUACUGGGCGUAAAGCGCACGUAGGCGGCUUUGUAAGUUAGAGGUGAAAGCCUGG